rnacentral:lncRNA from 1 species
GGCAUGACGGGCACCUCGGCUGGCACGUACUCCACCCUCCGGGGCUCGGGGCCUGAGGAGCAGACGGUGGCCCUGUGCAGACGCUCUGCUUGCGGGAGGCUGCGCUUUCAGUCAUUAUUUGGAUUUCGUUUUCCACAUGAAAAUAUUUAGAGAUCCAGCUCUUGGAAGCCAAGGAGAAACUGGCUUUUAAGCCGACAGCACAGGGAGCCUUUGCCUGCCAGAGGAAGAGGUGAGGAAGAGGUGGUGCGUCGUGCACUUCCUGUUGCUGUUUUAGGACAGCUUGGGCAAUGGUGUGCUGGGGGAAUCGUGCCAAAGUGAAAGCAUCCUUCGAUCAUUUUUAAGUCAUUCUAGGAUCUUCAGGGCAUCAAAGUUUUGCCUGUGAGCCUCAAUUGGUCUAAUACAAAAAUACAGACUGUGG